UGGGGAAUAUUGGACAAUGGGCGAAAGCCUGAUCCAGCAAUGCCGCGUGAGUGAUGAAGGCCUUAGGGUUGUAAAGCUCUUUUACCAGGGAUGAUAAUGACAGUACCUGGAGAAUAAGCUCCGGCUAACUCCGUGCCAGCAGCCGCGGUAAUACGGAGGGAGCUAGCGUUGUUCGGAAUUACUGGGCGUAAAGCGUACGUAGGCGGUGACUCAAGUCAGAGGUGAAAGCCUGGAGCUCAACUCCAGAACUGCCUUUGAAACUAGGUCGCUAGAAUCACGGAGAGGUGAGUGGAAUUCCGAGUGUAGAGGUGAAAUUCGUAGAUAUUCGGAAGAACACCAGUGGCGAAGGCGGCUCACUGGACGUGUAUUGACGCUGAGGUACGAAAGCGUGGGGAGCAAACAGGAUUAGAUACCCAAGUAGUCCCUGAGCGGGCUGGCAAGGCGCAU
rnacentral:rRNA from 1 species